rnacentral:sRNA from 19 species
CCCGCAGAGCUUUUAGCGCCUUAUACCGGCGAUAUCGCGGCGGAAGGGAUCAGCAAAGUCCUGCGUGGCGGCGCUAAGUUUUUACGUCAUAACAUUCAGCGUCAGCAGCGUUAUAUCGCUGAGGCGAUGACUGAAGAGUGGCGUAUGGCGCCUGGGCCGCUGGAAGUGGCAUGGUUUGCAGAAGAAACGGCAGCCGUUGAGCGUGCAGUAGACGCGCUGACUAAACGGCUGGAAAAACUGGAGGCCAAAUGA